rnacentral:rRNA from 1 species
GAUGAACGCUGGCGGCGUGCUUAACACAUGCAAGUCGAACGAAGCAUUUGCGACAGAUUUUUUCGGAAUGAAGUUGCUUAUGACUGAGUGGCGGACGGGUGAGUAACGCGUGGGUAACCUGCCUUGUACUGGGGGAUAGCAGCUGGAAACGGCUGGUAAUACCGCAUAAGCGCACAAUGUUGCAUGACAUGGUGUGAAAAACUCCGGUGGUAUAAGAUGGACCCGCGUCUGAUUAGCUAGUUGGUGAGAUAACAGCCCACCAAGGCGACGAUCAGUAGCCGACCUGAGAGGGUGACCGGCCACAUUGGGACUGAGACACGGUCCAGACUCCUACGGGAGGCAGCAGUGGGGAAUAUUGCACAAUGGAGGAAACUCUGAUGCAGCGACGCCGCGUGAGUGAAGAAGUAAUUCGUUAUGUAAAGCUCUAUCAGCAGGGAAGAUAGUGACGGUACCUGACUAAGAAGCUCCGGCUAAAUACGUG